AGACAUAAAAUUUCCAAAGGAAUUUUUGUAUGUUUAAAGUAGACUCACAGUAUCCUGGAGAGUUGGGCUAAGAUUCCCGUUUGUUCUUACCAGAGUGUCAACAUCAAGGUAGCUGAGCUCCCAGAGGAAGAUCACUCUGUCUGUUUCAAGGCCUUAUCAAUGGGAUGUAGGCAGUAAGGAAAUUUAAUUGUUCAUUUGCCUUUGUUUCCCACAUCAAUCUCCCUUGGCUUUUCUCUUCAUCAAGGAACCUCUAGACCCCGCCUGCAAGUGUGGCCUUAUCCCUGAUCUCUGACCAAUCCUGGGAUUCAUUAGCAGAAAGUGAAAGUAGAACACCCAGGGCCAGCCCUGUGAUCCACAGCUUUGGGUCAGACCUGCUGCCAGCUGGGCUUAGAGCUUAUGCAAUAGACAGGAGCACUUCUGAGUUUUGGUGGGCCCAAAGCAUAUACAAUUUUAAGGGCAUAUUUAAGAAAAAAGAUACAAAUUUAUGAGUACAAAAUUAGGUAUAAAGUCUUAGAAGGGGCCAUCCAAGAGGAGUCUUAAAACCUAACCUUUAUUUACUUCACACUAACUCUGCCUCUUUUCCUAAAUUUGAAUCUUGAUGAGAAAAACUACUCUAGCUAGAUCUGUUUCUUUCACACAAGGUUCUCCAAGAAGAGAGACCAUGGAGCCAGGAAGAGGAGGCCCACAAAUCAAUGAGAGACACUGAAGAAAUGACUAAAGAUCUGGCUUCAAAACAGGAUGAAUGACUGCCCAAUGCUGACCCCUUCCUCAGCCGCCACAGCCCUGGCCAAGAGGGAGGCCUCUGGCAUCUGCACAGUAGCCACCUCCUGUUAAGGUGGUGCCCGCUGGGGAAAACAGAAUGAAGCCUACCUGGUCGUCAGCUCCAAAGGAGAAGGUCCAGCAAACCUGUGUGAGAAACAUCAAGCUGCAGGAUUUCUCAGGUUAGCAAAAUAAUAAAGGCUCUAUGCUUGAAGGCGAUCUAUAAAUAAAGUACCUCCCGUGAAGACCAAAUCUUGAAGCUAUGAUCUUUGAAGAGAAAGUCAAUAUCUGCACACAGAUCCAUACCUGUGUGACGAAAUUACUUGCACCAUAAAGAUGAGACCGAUAUGGAGGCCAUUCUCCAUCCACACUGGUUAAAGUGGAUCCAACAGCUUAUUAAUGAGAGAGAACAUGAGAUUGAUACUGGAAUCCUCUGUAUUCCUUUUAUGAUAUAGUAGGGUGUAGAUUGCCAUUCUCAAGAAUAUCCUUUGU